UACGUAGGGGGCUAGCGUUGUCCGGAAUCAUUGGGCGUAAAGGGCGCGUAGGUGGCUCGUGAAGCGUGCGGUGAAAGUCCGAGGCUCAACCUCGGAUCGGCCGUGCGGACUCGCGGGCUCGAGCGUUGUAGAGGCGGGUGGAAUUCCGGGUGUAGCGGUGGAAUGCGUAGAGAUCCGGAAGAACACCGGUGGCGAAGGCACUUUACUGGGCUAUUACUAACACUCAGAGACGAAAGCUAGGGUAGCAAAUGGG
rnacentral:rRNA from 1 species